rnacentral:rRNA from 1 species
CGCGUAGGUGGUAGUGCAAGUCUGAGGUGGAAUCUUAGGGCUUAACCCUAAAAUUGCCUUGGAAACUGCAUUACUUGAGUCAGUGAGGGGAGGGUAGAAUUCCUGGUGUAGCGGUGAAAUGCGUAGAUAUCAGGAGGAAGGCCGGUGGCGAAGGCGGCCCUCUGGCGCUGAACUGACACUGAGGCGCGAAAGCGUGGGUAGCAAACAGGAUUAGAUACCCUGGUAGUCCACGCCCUAAACGGUGGGCACUAGGUGUAGGGCUCGUAAGGGUUCUGUGCCGAAGCGAAAGCAUUAAGUGCCCCGCCGUGGGGAGUACGGCCGCAAGGUUGAAA